CCUACGGGAGGCAGCAGUGAGGAAUAUUGGUCAAUGGCCGUAAGGCUGAACCAGCCAAGUCGCGUGAAGGAAGAAGGAUCUAUGGUUUGUAAACUUCUUUUAUAGGGGAAUAAAGGUAUCCACGUGUGGAUAUUUGCAUGUACCCUAUGAAUAAGCAUCGGCUAACUCCGUGCCAGCAGCCGCGGUAAUACGGAGGAUGCGAGCGUUAUCCGGAUUUAUUGGGUUUAAAGGGUGCGUAGGUUGUUUUUUAAGUCAGCGGUGAAAGUUUGUGGCUCAACCAUAAAAUUGCCGUUGAAACUGGAAGACGUGAGUGUGUUUGAGGUAGGCGGAAUGCGUGGUGUAGCGGUGAAAUGCAUAGAUAUCACGCAGAACUCCGAUUGCGAAGGCAGCUUACCAAGCUACUUCUGACGUUGAGGCACGAAAGCGUGGGGAGCAAACAGGAUUAGAUACCCCUGUAGUC
rnacentral:rRNA from 1 species